rnacentral:rRNA from 1 species
CCUACGGGAGGCAGCAGUGGGGAAUAUUGCGCAAUGGGCGAAAGCCUGACGCAGCAACGCCGCGUGCGGGAUGAAGGCCUUCGGGUUGUAAACCGCUUUCAGCAGGGAAGAAGCCGCAAGGUGACGGUACCUGCAGAAGAAGCACCGGCUAACUACGUGCCAGCAGCCGCGGUAAUACGUAGGGUGCAAGCGUUGUCCGGAUUUAUUGGGCGUAAAGAGCUCGUAGGCGGUUUGUUACGUCGGGUGUGAAAACUCGGGGCUUAACCCCGAGCCUGCAUCCGAUACGGGCAGACUUGAGUGUGGUAGGGGAGACUGGAAUUCCUGGUGUAGCGGUGAAAUGCGCAGAUAUCAGGAGGAACACCGGUGGCGAAGGCGGGUCUCUGGGCCAUAACUGACGCUGAGGAGCGAAAGCGUGGGGAGCAAACAGGAUUAGAUACCCUGGUAGUCCACGCCGUAAACGGUGGGCGCUAGGUGUGGGGAACCUUCCACGUUCUCCGUGCCGCAGCUAACGCAUUAAGCGCCCCGCCUGGGGAGUACGGCCGCAAGGCUAAAACUCAAAGGAAUUGACGG